GCCGAUCGAAGACCUGCAGAUGCGUGACGCGUGGCGCCCGCCGGUUGGCGGAGGAUUCGGCGCACCCCAUCCCGGGACGGCCGCACCGCCCACAUUAAAUUCCGGAGGGGGCGCCGGCCAACCACCUUGACACACGGCACGCGGGGCGCGGCUCCGCAUUCAUGCACCCGCGCCGGUUCGCGUUCCCGAUGGGAUGCCUGACAGCGGCCCGCUCUCCCGCGAUCGGCGCCGAAUAUCCGGUCGUCUGACGCCGUAUCGUCCGACGUCCGAUCUUCUGACACCG
rnacentral:lncRNA from 1 species